rnacentral:rRNA from 1 species
UUGGAGGGCAAGUCUGGUGCCAGCAGCCGCGGUAAUUCCAGCUCCAAUAGCGUAUAUUAAAGUUGUUGCAGUUAAAAAGCUCGUAGUUGAACUUCGGGAUCAAUGGAUUGGUCAUGCCGUUGGUGUGUACUGGUCAUAUUGGUUCUCACCUUCUAAGGAACCAUAAUGUCAUUCAUUUGAUGUUUUGGGGAAUUAGGACUGUUACUUUGAAAAAAUUAGAGUGUUUAAAGCAGGCUAACGCUUGAAUACAUUAGCAUGGAAUAAUGAAAUAGGACAUCGCAUUCUAUUUUGUUGGUUUCUAGGAUCGAUGUAAUGAUUAAUAGGGAUAGUUGGGGGCAUUAGUAUUCAAUUGUCAGAGGUGAAAUUCUUGGAUUUAUUGAAGAUUAACUACUGCGAAAGCAUUUGCCAAGGAUGUUUUCAUUAAUCAAGAACGAAAGUUAGGGGAUCGAAGACGAUCAGAUACCGUCGUAGUCUUAACCAUAAACUAUGCCGACUAGGGAUCGGAUGAUGUUGAUUUUUUAAUGACUCAUUCGGCGCCUUACGGGAAAC